AUUGAACGCUGGCGGCAUGCCUUACACAUGCAAGUCGAACGGCAGCAUGGAGAGCUUGCUCUCUGAUGGCGAGUGGCGAACGGGUGAGUAAUACAUCGGAACGUGCCCAGUUGUGGGGGAUAACUACUCGAAAGAGUAGCUAAUACCGCAUGAGAGCUGAGGUUGAAAGCAGGGGAUCGUAAGAACUUGCGCAACUGGAGCGGCCGAUGGCAGAUUAGGUAGUUGGUGGGAUAAAAGCUUACCAAGCCGACGAUCUGUAGCUGGUCUGAGAGGACGACCAGCUACACUGGGACUGAGACACGGCCCAGACUCCUACGGGAGGCAGCAGUGGGGAAUUUUGGACAAUGGGCGAAAGCCUGAUCCAGCAAUGCCGCGUGCAGGAUGAAGGCCUUCGGGUUGUAAACUGCUUUUGUACGGAACGAAAAGCUUCGGGCUAAUACCCUGGAGUCAUGACGGUACCGUAAGAAUAAGCACCGGCUAACUACGUGCCAGCCGCCGCAGUAA
rnacentral:rRNA from 1 species